GUCUACGGCCAUACCAGCCUGAAAGUGCCUGAUCUCGUCUGAUCUCAGAAGCUAAGCAGGGUCAGGCCUGGGAAUACCGGGUGCUGUAGGCU
ensembl:rRNA 5S_rRNA 5S ribosomal RNA